GAUGAACGCUGGCGGCGUGCCUAAUACAUGCAAGUCGAGCGAACAGACGAGGAGCUUGCUCCUCUGACGUUAGCGGCGGACGGGUGAGUAACACGUGGAUAACCUACCUAUAAGACUGGGAUAACUUCGGGAAACCGGAGCUAAUACCGGAUAAUAUAUUGAACCGCAUGGUUCAAUAGUGAAAGACGGUUUUGCUGUCACUUAUAGACGGAUCCGCGCCGCAUUAGCUAGUUGGUAAGGUAACGGCUUACCAAGGCGACGAUGCGUAGCCGACCUGAGAGGGUGAUCGGCCACACUGGAACUGAGACACGGUCCAGACUCCUACGGGAGGCAGCAGUAGGGAAUCUUCCGCAAUGGGCGAAAGCCUGACGGAGCAACGCCGCGUGAGUGAUGAAGGUCUUCGGAUCGUAAAACUCUGUUAUUAGGGAAGAACAAAUGUGUAAGUAACUAUGCACGUCUUGACGGUACCUAAUCAGAAAGCCACGGCUAACUACGUG
rnacentral:rRNA from 1 species